rnacentral:tRNA from 1 species
GGGAGCUUGGCUCAGUUGGAAGAGCGCAGGUCUCAUACGUUGUAUGAUCUGGUUUAACAUCAGAGUAAUCCUGAGGUCGUGAGUUCGAGCCUCACAGUUCCCA